rnacentral:rRNA from 1 species
GACGAACGCUGGCGGCGUGCCUAAUACAUGCAAGUUGAGCGCUGAAGGAUGGUACUUGUACCAACUGGGUGAGCAGCGAACGGGUGAGUAACGCGUGGGGAAUCUGCCUUUGAGCGGGGGACAACAUUUGGAAACGAAUGCUAAUACCGCAUAAAAACUUUAAACACAAGAUUUAAGUUUGAAAGAUGCAAUUGCAUCACUCAAAGAUGAUUCCGCGUUGUAUUAGCUAGUUGGUGAGAUAAAGGCUAACCAAGGCGAUGAUACAUAGCCGACCUGAGAGGGUGAGCGGCCACAUUGGGACUGAGACACGGCCCAAACUCCUACGGGAGGGAGCAGGAGGGAAUCUUCGGCAAAGGACGAAAGUCUGACCGAGCAACGCCGCGGGAGGGAAGAAGGUUCUCGGAUCGUAAAACUCUGUUGGUAGAGAAGAAAGUUGGUGAGAGUGGAAAGCUCAUCAAGUGACGGUAACUACCCAGAAAGGGACGGCUAACUACGUG